rnacentral:rRNA from 1 species
CUUGACCGCUGGCGGCAGGCCUAACACAUGCAAGUCGAACGCGUGGCGGACGGGUGAGUAAUGUCUGGGAAACUGCCUGAUUGAGGGGGAUAACUACUGGAAACGGUAUCUAAUACCGCCUACCAUCAGCUGUGCCCAGAUGGGAUUAGCUAGUUGGUGGGGUAACGGCGCACCAAGGCGACGAUCCCUAGCUGGUCUGAGAGGAUGACCAGCCACACUGGAAAUGAGACACGGUCCAGACUCCUACGGGAGGCAGGAGUGGGGAAUAUUGCACAAUGGGGGCAAGCUUGAUGCAGCCAUGCCGCGUGUAUGAAGAAGGCAUUCGGGUUGUAAAGUACUUUCAGCGGGGAGGCGUUACCCGCAGAAGAAGCACCGGCUAACUCCGUGCCAGCAGCCGCGGUAAUAC